UUCGGUUGAUCCUGCCGAAGGCUACUGCUAUUGGAGUUCGAUUAAGCCAUGCGAGUCUAAGGGGUACUUGUACCCCUGGCAUAAUGCUCAGUAACACGUGGAUAAUCUACCCUUAGGUGGGGCAUAAACCCGGGAAACUGGGGCUAAUUCCCCAUAGAUACAGAACGCUGGAAUGCCUCUGUAUUCAAAGCUCCGGCGCCUAAGGAUGAGUCUGCGACCUAUCAGGUAGUAGUCAGGGUCACGACCUGACUAGCCAACGACGGGUACGGGGUGUGAGAGCACUUGCCCGGAGAUGGUUUCUGAGACACGAAACCAGGCCCUACGGGGCGCAGCAGGCGCGAAAACUUCGCAAUGCGGGAAACCGUGACGAGGGAACUCCAAGUGUCUAUGCAAUGCAUAGACUGUUUUUCAGCCUAAAUAGCUGUUAGAGUAAGGGGUGGGUAAGACCGGUGCCAGCCGCCGCGGUAACACCGGCACCCCGAGUGGUAGCCACUAUUAUUGGGCCUAAAGCGUUCGUAGCCGGUUUAGUAAAUUCUUGGGUAAAUCGUACAGCUUAACUGUGCGGAUUCCGGGGACACUACUAGACUUGAGACCGGGAGAGAUUAGAGGUACUUGCAGGGGAGCGGUGAAAUGUUGUAAUCCUGCAGGGACCACCAGUGGCGAAGGCGUCUAAUCAUAACGGCUCUGACGGUGAGGAACGAAACCCUGGGGCGCAAACGGGAUUAGAUACCCCGGUAGUCCAGGGCGUAAACGCUGCUGACUUGGUGUUGGAGAUCCUACGAGGGUGUCCAGUGCUGGCGCGAAGGUAUUAAGUCAGCCGCCUGGGGAGUACGGUCGCAAGACUGAAACUUAAAGGAAUUGGCGGGGGAGCACUGCAACGUGUGGAGCGUGCGGUUUAAUUGGAUUCAACGCCGGAAAACUCACCGGGGGCGACGGUUACAUGAAGGCCAAGCUGAUGACUUUGCCUGAUUUUCCGAGAGGUGGUGCAUGGCCGCCGUCAGUUCGUACCGUAAGGCGUUCUGUUAAGUCA
rnacentral:rRNA from 1 species